UAAGAAUCAAACUCUGGUCAUCAAGCAUGGUAGCAUGUGUCUUUAUACACUAAACUAUUUUGGCAGCCCAAGACAAAAUUUAAAUUAUUCCCAAUAGGUUAUCCAAUAUCAAAUGGUUAUUCUUGAAAUCCUGAAGAAUCGUGAAGAAGUAGGCUGGAAGGUCAGUGAAGGAAUGGACCAGCUGGCAAGACUCUUAAAGGAUUAGUAGAAAGCCAGGAUACUUUUAAUUUGGCCUCAGCUGUCCAUCAUACAGUUGGCUGAGAAUGGUCCCUGUUACUGGUCCAGGACUCUAUCGCCGACAUCAUUGGCCAGCAUGGCUAAGGGAGUAAACUCCUGAAGAUUGCUCAUGGUGAUGGGAAGAAGGAAUGGGAUAGCAAAUAGCAAUGGGUGCUUUUCUUGGAGUCAGUCCAGCACUCUGGAGACCAGACCUUUGAGAAUGUUACUGGGAUAAGCAUCCAAAUCAAAUUCCAUGCAUCUAUUCUUGGUGAGUAGAACUAUUUAAAAUAUUACUUUGUUUGUUUGCUUAUCUGUAAUGUUUUUAUCGGUAAUCACAAAUUUCUGGUCACUCAUAAAGGAAAUUCAAAGAACUGAUCUUCGUGUUUUAUGUUUUUAUGAUUAAAAAGGAGAAAGAAAGGCUAGGGAACAUAACCCAGUUGGUAGUGUGAUCCGAUAGCAUGCUUGAACCCUCAGCUCUGCCUAG
rnacentral:lncRNA from 1 species